rnacentral:tRNA from 1 species
GGGGUAUUAAGUUCUAAAAGAAAGCUUCUAACUUUUUUUUAAGCGGUUAAAUUCCGUUUAUACCCCU